GCGGAUGAGGGUGGGGCUGUGUAAUACCCCGUAAUUUUUCCUAGCUUGAAAUUGUCCUAAAAAUGUUAGAAAUUUUCUUUGAAAGAUGAAUCCACUUUUGUACACGUGGUAUUUUUAAUAUUUUCACUUUUUGUCACGUGAAAAAUCAAAUAAGCUUUCCAUCGAUACCAAUUUCAUCAAAAUCCGGUAUCGGACGAGAAAGUUAUGGUCGUUUUACAGAGAGCAG
rnacentral:lncRNA from 1 species